AUGGCGACCGGCGCACGGGUGAGUGACACGUAUCCAACCUGCCGAUAACUCCGGAAUAGCCUUUCGAAAGAAAGAUUAAUACCGGAUGGCAUACGAAUAUCGCAUGAUAUUUUUAUUAAAGAAUUUCGGUUAUCGAUGGGGAUGCAUUCCAUUAGUUUGUUGGCGGGGUAACGGCCCACCAAGACUACGAUGGAUAGGGGUUCUGAGAGGAAGGUCCCCCACAUUGGAACUGAGACACGGUCCAA
rnacentral:rRNA from 1 species